UAGGGAAUCUUGCUCAAUGGGGGAAACCCUGAAGCAGCGACGCCGCGUGAGUGAUGAAGGACUUAGGUUCGUAAAGCUCUGUUCUGAGGGACAAAAAAAAUGAUGGUACCUCAGAAGCAAGGACCGGCUAACUUCGUGCCAGCAGCCGCGGUAAUACGAGGGGUCCAAGCGUUGCUCGGAAUCAUUGGGCGUAAAGCGGGUGUAGGUGGUUUUGUAAGUCAGAAGUGAAAGCCCUGGGCUUAACCCAGGAAGUGCUUUUGAUACUGCUUAACUUGAGUGUGGUAGAGGAUAGUGGAAUUCCUGGUGUAGUGGUGAAAUACGUAGAUAUCAGGAGGAACAUCGGCGGUGAAGACGGCUAUCUGGACCAACACUGACACUGAGAUCCGAAAGCGUGGGGAUCAAACAGG
rnacentral:rRNA from 1 species